GAUACACUGGGUGGCGCUAUUCACCUCUACGUUGGUUUGGAUUAAACAAAACUUUAUUGGCCACCGCUAAAGACUCGGUCCUCUACCCCAAAUGUUGAUACAGCGCGGUGCAAGACAAAAUUUCCUUUAGCAUUUCCUUUAGCACCUACUCGGCGCGGUACGGCUCGCCACUACUGUACUGGACUCGGCUUAGUUGUUUUUCCAUCACAUUGAGUACCACCUCAUCGUGGGUGGAGUCGUCAUAGCACGGCGGACCGAAAGUCCCUUACCGUCAUUUGUGUGCGACACAAACGCAACACAACAACGGACAUGGAGGCGAUGGUUCACCUGCUGCUCGGUCUGUGGCUUUCUGUCAGAUUCAAAGUAAUAGAAGAGUCGGAGAAAGCUGAGAGCUGCGAGUGGAAACACUGAGGAGACACACAGGAGAGUUUGGGAGACGAGCAGCAGUAUCAAGCUGAAGACAAGAGGAUAUGAACUAUGAUAUGAGGGUGGAAGCUGAAUUAGUGAGGAUGACUCCUGCUCCUGUCAUCUCUAAGCUCCUCACACAUCUUUACCUGCACAUGAGGAAAAUCACUCCUGUAGAAUGCAGAUGUUCAGAGGGAGAUGAUGCCACAUCUGGUCCAGCUGAUGGAAGAUCUUGAAGUUCUCUGACUGGCCUCGACUGAAGAUGGUCGUCUCACUGGAUUUAAGGUUCAGAUGCUCAGUAACAAACUCCACCAAUGUGCCAACAGGGAAGCUUUAGGUUUAUUAAAUGUUGCUUCACUGUUUCACUGUUUUUCUUUGUGAAUGCAAUGUGCUCCAACUGAAACUUGAAUUAGAAAUUAGAAGUAAAUCCUUCCAGAUGAAAACUGUGAUGGUGUUGGAUUGUCAGACCGUAAUGUUGCAGCUCAAAGCAGCUUUUCUAUCUCAGUUCAUUCUGACAUUCAGCUAUGAAUCAACACAGCAGAUGGUGAUCCAUGCUGUGAAAGUCUCACAUCUCCUGAAUUAAUGGAGCUGCUUUGCACUUUUUACACUGUUUAUUCACCAACACUUUAUUUAAUAAAAGUCCCAUCUAGUUUUUAUGAGGAAUGUGAUGUUUUAAUUUCUCUGUGAAUAACUGCAGUCUAAUGGAACAGCUGGAGUUGUAACAUCUGUCUUGAUAUUGAUCAUGAAGUAUUGAUCAGAAUGAUCAAAUGAGUUUGUUUUUACUGCCAGCUACCAUUCAGUCUAAAAUAUUAAGAAUAAAUAAAUGUGCAUAAUGUGGAAAUUAACAGAUUCUAUUUUUAUUUAUGCCUCCAGCUGCUGCAUUUAAAGUUCCAGAAUGUGGAGGAAUUUAGUCUCACAAUCACAGAAAAUAUUAUCUGAAAGUCGGGUUAUUGUUGUUUAUCAGCACAAUACAAAAAGAUUAAUGUUAGAAAUAUUCCAGUUAAGACUCUGGAAUAUCAUGAUUUAUGUAAAUUUACCUCAAUAAUAUGAAUGUUCAGGUUAAGAUUGUACAGUGAUAUUUAUUAUGUAAGUUUAGCUGAUUAAAGUUUAUGACUCUGCACUAAAAUAUUAUUUAAAUUGACAUCAUUAUUAUAAUAUUUAGAGUCAGACCCUACAGUAUUGAGAUUAAGGAAUCAAAUAUAUAAAAUGUAAAUACACUGAACUAAUUUGGAUAUAUUUAAGUGAGACUCUACAAUAUUAUUUGACACAAAUCUAUCGAAAUCCAAAUUUUAAUCAUUUUUACUCCAAACAUUUACUGGACUGAUUUAAAUACUAAAAUCCCUCCUUUCUAAUCCUCUGCUGUACCUUCAAACCUGAGGCCUUAAAUAGAAACACACAAGUAUCUGAUUGAAGGAACUUCUGCAAAGUCCUGGUUCCAGAACAUGAUGAUAGAAUUAUAGACAAACUUUAACAAAAGCUGCCUGACAGUUUACAGGUUUUUAUGUUAGAUUUCUUCAGUAAUUUAAUGAGUUAUCAGCAAUAAUCAAGUGUUCAUUUGAUGAACUUCAUUUCCUAAAACAUCCAGAAUUGGAGCUCAUAUCUUUGGCAGCUGUAAAGUUUCUGCUCCUUCAAAGUUCACAACAAAAUGAAUGAAUUCCUAAAACACUCUCAGUGCUGGAGAGCGUUUGAUGCUGAAGCAGUGACCAGUUUUUCUGUUUCUUCUCUGGAGAUGCACAAUGAGGGACGUCUGCAGAGACUGAGAAAGAGUCUCACCACAUCCUGACAUGAGGAAAAAGACUUUAUUGAAGACUACAAUGAGAAAAACUAUCAGACAGCAGACGGCAUGCAUUCAAGUCUGUAGCUGCUGAAUUCAUGGAUGAAUCAUCUGGCACUAGAGAAGAAGACCAUCAAACAUCCACGUCAAGACGUCAACAAGUUCACUGACUCCCCGACUCGUGGGUCUGAGGACGCCGCCGAGCCUCGGCCCAGCCGGCCUCCUGUCUGUGGGUGUUUGAGUGCUGAGAGGUUUGUGGAUGCAUGUGAACGUUCUGUGUUGAAACAGCAGCUUUUCACUCAGUAAUGCCGGGAAAAACCAAGAGCUCCUUUAUUUGUGACUUCCACUAAAAAAAACUGAUGAAAAUAAGUUUGCCAGGGUUCUGACUGAUAACAUAUUAUUAAAUAAUGAAAAUAACAGUUUAAAUAUUCCUUUAAACAAUCCUUUUAGGUCUACAUUUCCUUUACACUGACUUCUUGGUAUAUGUACAAGUAUUUUGGGUGGAAUAUACCAUUAAGCCUGAUGUUCAAGGGUUCUUCUGGGAAUAUACCAUUAAACCAACCUUUUAGGUAAAUGUUCCAAGAUGUUGGGUAGAAUAUACCAUCAGAUCAACCUGUUAGGUCUACUUUGGAAGAUUUUAGAGUAGAAUAUUACUCCAAACCAUCCUUUAGGUCUACAUUUAAGGUGAAAUACUCCUUUACACCAAGAUUUUUUUGGUCUACAUUGAAGGAUUUUAGGUGGAAUAUUCCUUUGAACAAACUUUUUAAGUUUAUGUUCAAGGAUGUUGGGUGGAAUAUACCAUCAGACCAACCUCCAAGGUCUACAGUAGUGAAUUUUAGGUGGAAUAUACCAUUAAACUCACCUUUUAGGUCUACAUUGGAGGAUUUUAGGUGGAAUUUUCUUCCAAACCGUCUUUUAGUCUACAUUUAAGGAUGUUUAGGAUGGUAUAUUCUUCCGAACCAACUUCUCAGGUCUACAUUUCAGGUGGAAUAUUCCUCCAUACUAACUUUUUUGGUCUACAUUGAAGGAUUUUUUCUAAACCACCCUUUCGGGUCUAUAUUUGGGGUUUUAGGUGGAAUAUUCCUUUUAACCAGCCCCUCGGGUCUCUGAGGAUUUUGGAUGGAAUACUCAGUUAAACCAACAUUUUAGGUGCAUGUCCAAGGAUUUUAGGUGGAAUGUUCC